rnacentral:lncRNA from 1 species
AAAUUCUUCAAUGAACAUUUUUCCAUUAAAGUCUCUAUUCUGAAAAUUCUGUUUGUAACAAACCAGGUAAGUCUUUGUCUUGUUAGGGUUGAUCAUCCUUAGUGCUAGGUCCGUAUGCAUGUGUGAAUUCUAAAUGUUUUGUUAGUAAUAUGUUUGUUUGUUGCGAACCAGUUGACUGUCUACUAGCAAGAACAAAAGCAAAGCCAAAAUCGUUUAAGUUCUUUGUUUGUAGAGAGUGGUCUAAAAUUAUUUAGAUUAUGUUAGUUGCUAUGGUUUUCCUAAAAGAAACCUUGUUUUCAAAACCAAACGUAAGUUUUCUGAAACAAUUUUGUUUAAGCCACGAAACUUUAUUUUCAAAACACGAUUUUACACAAGCUCCUAUGCGAGCCUCUGGUUAUAAGAAUGUUUUGGAAAGAAUGGUUUUAAACUGUAUUUUUGAAAGGCACUUACGUGCGAGCUUUUAUAAACAAAUGUUUUAACUUUGUUUUUUGCAAGCUCUCUGAUAAGUUCACUUUGUGCGAACUCUUUUCUUGGCUCCGCUCUAUGCGAGACCUCUUUUUAGCUUUACCUUAUUGCAAUCUUUCUAUUCUAUGAGCUCUUUAGUGAACCUUCUAAUUUGGAAUACCAAGGGUUGGAAUACUCGCCCAAGUCAAGGCUAACUCUGUGUGUUCCUAUGAGAGCAUGAGCCUUUAUGAGCCUCACUAUGCGUGUUCCUUGAGAGCAUAGACCUUUGUGAGAUUUCUGAUAUGUCUGUGAUGAACCAAUUGUGUGACCUAAGGCCGACUCUGUUCAUAAUUUCUGAUAUGUGUGAACCUAGUAACAAAGCUCUGUUAUAAACUCUGAUUUGUUUUGGUCUUGCAAUUUCUAUGCAAGCCCUCUUCUUAAGCAAGUUUUUAAAGAAAGGAUUUAUCAGAAAUGUUUUUAAUUUUUUCACAAAAAUAUAUUUUUCAAAUGCAAACUAGGUCUUAAAAUCCUCAAACUGCGAACCCAGCACGCAAACCAUUU